AUGGGGGCGCACCUGGUCCGGCGCUACUUGGGCGAUGCCUCGGUGGAGCCCGACCCCUUGCAGAUGCCAACCUUCCCGCCCGACUACGGCUUCCCUGAACGCAAGGAGCGCGAGAUGGUGGCCACACAGCAGGAGAUGAUGGACGCGCAGCUGAGGCUCCGGCUGCGGGACUCCUGUGCCCACCACCUCAUCCGGCUGCUCAAGUGCAAGCGCAACAGCUUCCCCAACUUCCUGGCCUGCAAGCAGGAGCGGCACGACUGGCACUACUGCGAGCACUGCGACUAUGUGAUGCGCAUGAAGGAGUUUGAGCGGAGCGGAGGCUGCUCCAGCAAAAGAAGCGGCAGGAGAAGAAGGCGGCAGAGUUGGCCAAAGGCCAGGGACCCGGGAAAGUGGACCCCCAGGUGGCCCUGUAG